rnacentral:rRNA from 2 species
GUGCUUAACACAUGCAAGUCGAACGGAAAGGCCCUUCGGGGUACUCGAGUGGCGAACGGGUGAGUAACACGUGGGUGAUCUGCCCUGCACUUUGGGAUAAGCCUGGGAAACUGGGUCUAAUACCGAAUAGGACCGCGCUCUUCAUGGGGUGUGGUGGAAAGCUUUUGCGGUGUGGGAUGGGCCCGCGGCCUAUCAGCUUGUUGGUGGGGUAAUGGCCUACCAAGGCGACGACGGGUAGCCGGCCUGAGAGGGUGACCGGCCACACUGGGACUGAGAUACGGCCCAGACUCCUACGGGAGGCAGCAGUGGGGAAUAUUGCACAAUGGGCGCAAGCCUGAUGCAGCGACGCCGCGUGAGGGAUGACGGCCUUCGGGUUGUAAACCUCUUUCAAUAGGGACGAAGCGCAAGUGACGGUACCUAUAGAAGAAGGACCGGCCAACUACGUGCCAGCAGCCGCGGUAAUACGUAGGGUCCGAGCGUUGUCCGGAAUUACUGGGCGUAAAGAGCUCGUAGGUGGUUUGUCGCGUUGUUCGUGAAAUC